rnacentral:rRNA from 1 species
UGGGGAAUCUUCCGCAAUGGACGAAAGUCUGACGGAGCAACGCCGCGUGAGUGAAGACGGCCUUCGGGUUGUAAAGCUCUGUUAUUCGGGAAGAACGAUUCGUUUGUGAACAAUGAACGGAAGUGACGGUACCGAAAGAGAAAGCCACGGCUAACUACGUGCCAGCAGCCGCGGUAAUACGUAGGUGGCAAGCGUUGUCCGGAAUUAUUGGGCGUAAAGAGCGCGUAGGCGGUAUGGUAAGUCUGUCUUAGAAGUGCGGGGCUUAACCCCGUGAGGGGACAGAGACUGUCAUACUGGAGUCUCGGAGAGGAAAGCGGAAUGCCUAGUGUAGCGGUGAAAUGCGUAGAGAUUAGGAAGAACACCGGUGGCGAAGGCGGCUUUCUGGACGAGCACUGACGCUGAGGCGCGAAAGCGUGGGGAGCGAACAGG